UCGCAGUCUGCAACUCGACUGCGUGAAGCUGGAAUCGCUAGUAAUCGCGGAUCAGCAUGCCGCGGUGAAUACGUUCCCGGGCCUUGUACACACCGCCCGUCACACCACGAGAGUUUGUAACACCCGAAGUCGGUGAGGUAACCUUUUAGGAGCCAGCCGCCGAAGGUGGGACAGAUGAUUGGGGUGAAGUCGUAACAAGGUAGCCGUAUCGGAAGGUGCGGCUGGAUCACCUCCUUUCUAAGGA
rnacentral:rRNA from 1 species